rnacentral:misc_RNA from 1 species
UCGACACAGGGCGGGACCAGCGCUCUCGGGCAACGUCUCCCAACCCUCCCCCCUCAGGCAUCGUGCUCAGGUCCGUAGACCUGUGGAGCUGAGGCUUUCAUCGCUGCCUCGCGAACAAACACACAAAGACAGAGAGCAGCACAUGCCCACCUCUGACGGCCUCGAGCCACCCUCACCGGCGGAUCAGUCCGUGUCGCGCUUCGUGCGCACCCUCGAUGUGUACCCCGUCGCGCCCCCGUACAAGCCGCAUGGCAUCACAGUGCACCCCCGAGCAAACGCAGGUAUGUCGGCAAUGCCAUGUGGCCGUCGCACCUCUCAGCGGCAGCCUGCGCAUGCGCGGGGGUCGGGCUGCAGUUUCGACUGUGCUCGUACUCCCGCGGUGCAUGGCAGAACACCAGGUGCUGUUGCUGCUGCUGCCGCCGCUGGAGCCUCCCCAUCCACGCUGUCAUCUCCCCCAGAGGAGCCAGUGACAGAGGCUGCAUAUCGCCUAAGCCCGCAGGAGGUGCAACGUCGUGCGCAACAGGUGCUAACGGCGCAGGCACGCAGCUUGCUGCUGGCGCGACUCCAAGAACGCUUGCAGCAGGCCCGCGUCGCGCAUGCACAACGAAACGCGACACGCAGCCCCCCAACCUCACCCGCGCCGUUACCUGUGUCUCCUUUCGACACCCACAUGACCAGUGCCUGGCCGAAUAGUGCCUCUUCUGAAGCCGCUGACGGGGCUUGCGCUGCACCUACCCCUGCUAAGGUGGAGUCACUGUCUGAGGAAGCCUCGCCACUCUUUACCACGGAGAUGUCAACAGAUGGAGGCGCUGCCGGUGGGGCUACCACGCGUCCGGGCGCGGCCGCCGCUGCAUCUGCGGUGCAUUCCCCGGCGGAGAUGUCUGUAAUUGACGUGAACCCUUACUCGGCGGUGGAGCUGGUGCGCGUGCAUCGCCUCAAGGGUGUGCCGAACCACAACCGUGGCCUCUUCGCCGGCUUGUCAAGGCGCUACUUUACGACUCGCAGCGGGCACUACACGGUUGGCCGAGACAGCGAGGGAAACCGUCGCGUGCGGUCGGGUGUGUCUGGGUUUAUGUGGAAAGCGCAACGCCACUCCGGCGCUGCCUCUGGCCCCCCGCCGCGGCUCACAAUGCGGUCCCUCUUUGUAGAUGACCGAAUCCUAUUUCAGUGGACGGAGGGCGACUCUUCGUACGGCGUGCAGGACGAUGACGAAUUCAGUGGUCAGCGCGAUGACGGGACGGUGUUUUCCAACGCCUCCGACAUGGACGACGCUCCUCUCGGGCACGCUCUCAAAAGGAUGCUGGAGCACACGUAUGGAAAGAGGAUGACAGCGGAGCAACGGGCAGAAGCGGCGCGGCGGCUGCGGGAGCGCCGUGAGGGCCAGCAGGGCACGAGUGGUAGAUACCGUGUGCGGAGGGGCAAGGGCAGUGAUGAGAGCCCGAACUCGUCCGCCGGUGGAGACGCCAUGACGGACGGCGACGACUCCUUCUUGCUCAGCCUGAAAGACGGUUCAUCCGAUGCCAGCAGGACUGGACAGCAGCGACGGGUUCCAGGAGACAAAGGCUCCCGCAGUGGGGCCGCCUCCCUAAACUCGAAGCGCGGCGUUAUCUUCGUGCAGGACCUGUCGCCGGUCGAAUUCGUGUGUGAUCACAACAUGCUCCCGGUGGUGGACACGCCAAUGCUCUCUGCUGGUGCCACGUCGCACAACCGCAACGACCCUCUUCUCACCUUUGCAGCUUCUGGCCAUCGCUACGCGGCAAGCGCCGACGGAGGCAGUCUGCGACACAGUGGUGAUGGUGACCACCUGAACGCCACGCUCCUCGCCGCACUCUCUUUUUCCUCCCUGGGCCACACCAUGACCGCCGAUGAGGCCGAGGCGCACCGACGCAAGCGUCACUUCCACGUCGGCUUCGAAAACUUAAGCACAGGGAGUAGGCCCGGGGGCGGUGACGGGCCUUCAGGGCUUAUCGAGGUUAAGCGCAGUGGUUCUGGCACCAUCGGCGGCCGCGGCGCAUACGGAUCUCUGUCGCUGCCAAGCUCUGGCGAGCAGCACCGGCAGCUGAGCCACACUGCCUGCCUCUACGCAGAUGAAGAGAUGGUCGUCGUUGACAAACGACUAUCGGCCGCUGCAGGAGGGCCACAGGGCGGCGCAAAGGACACAUCGUCGGUUGCCCCUGGCGCAAGGGGUGGCAGCGGUGCAGCAGGUGGCCUUGGCGGCGGCGGCCGCCACACCGCAAGAAGAGCUGGUGAAGGAAUUUCCUCGGCGACAGGGCAAGGCACGGACGAAGGGCUCACAGCAGAGGAGACGCAGCAGCGCAUCGUGGCAUCUCUCUCGGAGGCCUCCAUCUCUGCCACCGUCACCUCAGAAGACGACUUGAUGGGCCCCCUCAAGGACAACGGCGACAGCGGUAACCUCGACGAGUUCCUCACACACUUCCCUGAGGAGGAGAACCAUGUCCGCCUGCGCCGAGCCGCCAAGAACAUCCUUGACGGCGUGGAGGAUAUGUGGGACGAGGACGACAGCAGCCGCAGCGCCUUCCUGUUGCCAAAAUUCCUCAACCUGAAUUUCCAGUUUCCGGGGCUUGACGAUGUCAUCGGCGGCUCCGAUGGACUCGAUGAUGACGGCGGGCACGACGAGGGCUCAGCAGAUGACGAGCACGAGUCGCUCACCGGCUUUGGCGUCAACGAGGCGGAGCUGAACGAGAAGUUUCGUAUUGAAGCGGAGGAGGAGUGCGGCGACCUUGUGGCUCAGCGUGACGCGCUGCUGGCGGAAAUCGAGGCUCAACGCCAGCUUCUGGACAACAUGGGCGCGGAUGCACACUACCUCUCCGUUGGGCAUGCGCGCACCGGCAUGACGGCGGAGCAGUACGCCAUUAUGCUCACCAGCGAGGUAAGCCGCUACGCCAAGUCGAAUCAGCUUCGCCUGAACCGCAUUCUGGAAGAGAUGUCUGAGCAGCAGCAGAAGGAUGGCGAGGCAUGGACCACUAUUGAGCGCGCUGCGUACGGCUUUCUCGACCGCUUCGGGAAGGAGCGAACUGCGACAGCGGACGUGGGCUGUCAAGUGAGUGACGCCGACCUAUGCUACGUCGACGCCGCUGUGCGCUCGACUGAGGAACAACUAGAGGACUUGUUCAUGCAUGAGAAGGCGCUGGUGAACGCUGUGCGACUCGCCACGGUGGCAGUGGCCAACAUCAUGACUUUUCAUGCCUCGCUGGAGAUGGAGUCGACGUGCCACGAGUGCUUCUUCGUCUUCGACAAGCCGCGGACGCUCUGGCCGUGCGGGCACACCUUCUGCCUCCCCUGUCUCUCCAACAUGUACAACCGUCGCGGAGAGCUCAUCUGCUCCGAGUGCGGGUCCGUCUGUGAGGUCGGGUACACCCCCAACAUUUCAGUGGAGCUCGUCGCCAACUACCAGACGCUGUGCAAGCGCAGCGAAUCCAACGAAGACUCCGAGCCUGAUAGCUCUCUAAACAAGGAGUGCAAGACACAGACGGUUGAGGGUGUUCUGCGCAGUUUGCUGAACGGCCUGCUCUCGGCCCAGAGCAGCUGGACCGCCAUGCCCUCUGAACACUCCCCGCUGAGGAUGGGUGUUGGCGCAUGAGGGAGGCCUCGUGCGCGCACCUAUGUGUAUAUAGCUUCACGUGAGAAGCGCGCAGCCUGUUGUGCGUUCGAUGUAAACUAUUACGGACCGAGACGCGCAACGACACGGAUUUUAGCCCCCGGUGCGUCUCGGUACCUUCAUGCGGUGCCCUCUCGUCUCCUCUCUCUCGUGUUGUGCUGUCGCGCUUGAUGCCUGCUCUGCGCCAUCUGCUGUGAGGGCGCGACUAGCAUACGGGUUAAGGAAACGCAAGC